GAUGAAGAACGCAGCGAAAUGCGAUAAGUAAUGUGAAUUGCAGAAUUCAGUGAAUCAUCGAAUCUUUGAACGCACAUUGCGCCCGCCAGUAUUCUGGCGGGCAUGCCUGUUCGAGCGUCAUUUCAACCAUCAAGCCCCCGGCUUGUGUUGGGGACCUGCGGCUGCCGCAGGCCCUGAAAAGCAGUGGCGGGCUCGCUGUCACACCGAGCGUAGUAGCAUACAUCUCGCUCUGGGCGUGCUGCGGGUUCCGGCCGUUAAACCACCUUCAUAACCCAAGGUUGACCGCGGAUCAGGUAGGAAGACCCGCUGAACUUAAGCAUAUCAAUAAGCGGAGGA
rnacentral:misc_RNA from 1 species